UGAGCUGGCGAAUACUGAUAAAUGUACUUCACUGAAUGUCAGCAAAUGUCACUUGAGAAGCCAUUUGCAGCUACCAUAACAGCCUCCCAAACCCAACAAAGAGUAGCAAAAACAGGCAAAAUGAACUGGGCGUCUUGCUUCCGCAUGAAUAAGCAAUCGGCCCUCUCAGAAGUUACACCAGAAAGUUGUUAAACUUGAUAGAAGAAGCUUUCGCACCCAUACUGACGCAUGCUAUAGAUUGCUACUGAGGGUUGGAGACCUUGUGAGGACAUCAGCACCGUGGCUCAGGGAAGGACCUAAUAACCCCUUCUGUCCCAGGAUUUCUGGAAGCCAAGGCCAAGUUUUCUUCGGAAUUCGGCUGGGGUGGAGAUGGUCCCCUCUUCCUCCUGGGCUUGGCCUUUCAGGGAAGCACCUUUCUUAAAUUUUUUCUACCUUCUUAAUGCAAAAAGUCCCCCCAAAGCGGGCAGAACGCAUCACAUCCUAGCAGAAAGUCAGGCCAUAAAAAGCUGGGCAUCCAGUCGCUUGGUAAGUGCACAGGGUUUAACAAUCUCGUGUAACUGUUAUUUUUUUCCCGUGUUGAGCACUUAAAAAAAAAAAAAACUCACCUAGCAUACUUCGAAAUAACCUUUCUUACCAUGCCAAAUGUUUCAUUUCAGUGCCUGUAAUACUUACUUGUUUCCCUACCCAGUUAGGGAAAAAAAAAUUCUGCCUCGAUUUUAAGAAGAAAAAGAUCUUUAAAGUUUCUAAAUGUAAGAAUGGUUAAAAAGUUUUUUUCCCUCUCAAAUCGGCAUUCGGAAAAAUAUAUUUGUAUAUUCAUUUACGUCUGGUGUGAGAGCAGAAUUGCCGCUUUUGCUCAAAGGAAAAGGUCUUUGAAAUGACACAGAUCUAUGUGUGCGUAUUUUUAGAAUUAAGACGCUUGUAUUCAUUGUCCUGGUGGGAUUUCCUUCCAGGGGAAUCCGCAUUGGGGGAUGUAGCCCGUCUAGGGAGCAUUUAAAGAAAUUUUAAUAUCCAAACAAAAGCGGUAUUACCAUUGCUAUCCACUCCCUCCCCUAGAGGAAAAACAAUUAAUAAUUUGCAUAUGCUCCUGACACAAAUUAAAGACAAAGGGCCCCUCACUGACUGUGGUUACCACGCAGCCCUCAGCAAGCUGCACCGCCCCAGCACUGUUCUUGCUUCCAAAUGAAUAGCAUUAAGCUCGAUAACUAAAAAUAGUGGAUCUGGGCCCUCUGGCCUAUUCCCACUGUAGAAUCAUGUGUCCCCAAUCAGAAACAUCUCCCAAUCUCUCCACGAGGUUCUAGGCAAAAAGAACGUAUAGUUCCAAGGGAAAAAAAUACGUAUAUACUUUGCCCUUUUUAUUUUAAUGGCUAAACAUUGUAAUGCUAGCUAAAUAGAAAUUCUUGUCUGUUAAUAGGUUCCUUUAGUUUGUAAUAAAUAGGAAUGCUAAUGACUAAAAUUUGGUAUUUGGUAUGCAUUAGCUUUUGUGAGCUUUUCUUUACAGUCCUCAUUGACAUGCAAUAUGGCAAGCUUCCUUUGAAACAUAUUUAUAAAAUAACUACAGUAUAAUUAAACCAACAAAGCCAUCUUUUAAGUAAGCUUAAUAGCUUGGUUUUUUUUUUAUUCCCACCUCGGUAAAAAAUUAUUUUAAAAAGAAAAAUAGUUGUGCCUCAAUCCCACUGUAUAUUUUAUUCUGUGCAUCUAAUAUUUCCUUUGCAUCUACAAUCUAUGCAUAUCUAAUUCUUUUUGACAACUAUGAUUACUAAUAAAGUUCUCAUGAAAGAUAUGCUUCAUAGCUUCUUCAACAAGAAUAAUGGUUUUUUGUUAAUGGAAAUUGUAACAUAUCUUGACAGAUACAAUAUAUAAGAUGUGCUUUUUUCUUAAUUGUUAAUGUUGCUGUGCUGAACACACAGGGAGCAGAUCAACAGA